GUUGAUGAUCAGCUCCUUCUUGGGUUGUUGCUGCAGGUUCAUCUGCUUGAUGGCCACCUGAGACCACAGACAAUUACGGCUUCACGUAGGCUAUGAAUUAUGAAGCAGAGUUUCUGGUGGUAAUAAAUUCAAGAUAAGAGA